rnacentral:lncRNA from 1 species
UUAAAACAAGACACUUCAUCUUCAUUAUUUCCUUAUCUUCUUCAUUCUCUCUUCACAUAAGACAAAAAUGCUGACCUUCUCAAUUAAUGUAUUUUGAAGUUAUCUUCUUUCUAGGCUUGCAAAACCUUUACCUAAAUCUUAGACUUCCCAAUUCAAGCAUUGCUUCAGCAACAACAUGUGUUAUUAGGUUUCAUGUUUCAUAGGAGUUAUUAUAUAGAAUUUGAC